rnacentral:rRNA from 1 species
CCUACGGGAGGCUGCAGUGAGGAAUAUUGGUCAAUGGACGAGAGUCUGAACCAGCCAAGUAGCGUGAAGGAUGACUGCCCUAUGGGUUGUAAACUUCUUUUAUAUGGGAAUAAAAUGUUCCACGUGUGGGUUUUUGUAUGUACCAUAUGAAUAAGGAUCGGCUAACUCCGUGCCAGCAGCCGCGGUAAUACGGCGGAUCCGAGCGUUAUCCGGAUUUAUUGGGUUUAAAGGGAGCGUAGGUGGAUUGUUAAGUCAGUUGUGAAAGUUUGCGGCUCAACCGUAAAAUUGCAGUUGAAACUGGCAGUCUUGAGUACAGUAGAGGUGGGCGGAAUGCGGGGUGUAGCGGUGAAAUGCUUAGAUAUCACGAAGAACUCCGAUUGCGAAGGCAGCUCACUGGACUGCAACUGACACUGAGGCUCGAAAGUGUGGGUAUCAAACAGGAUUAGAUACCCCUGUAGUC